rnacentral:rRNA from 1 species
GGGUGAGUAACACGUAGGUAAUCUACCUUUGGAUGGGGAAUAACAACCGGAAACGGUUGCUAAUACCGCAUAAUGCAGCGGCACCUAAUGGUGACAGUUGUUAAAGCGGGGGAUCGCAAGACCUCGCGUCUAAAGAGGAGCCUGCGGCGGAUUAGCUAGUUGGUAAGGUAACGGCUUACCAAGGCGAUGAUCCGUAGCCGGCCUGAGAGGGCGGUCGGCCACACUGACACUGACAUACGGGUCAGACUCCUACGGGAGGCAGCAGUCGGGAAUUUUGGGCAAUGGGCGAAAGCCUGACCCAGCAACGCCGCGUGAAGGAUGAAAUCCCUCGGGAUGUAAACUUCGCAAGAACGGGAAGAAUAAGUUGGUGUGAAUAUCACCAGCGAUGACGGUACCGUUUGUAAGCUCCGGCUAACUCCGUGCCAGCAGCCGCGGUAAUACGGGGGGAGCAAGCGUUGUUCGGAUUUACUGGGCGUAAAGGGCGCGUAGGCGGCCACCGCAAGUCAAUUGUGAAAUCUCCGGGCUUAACUCGGAAAGGUCAACCGAUACUGCGGGGCUAGAGUGCAGAAGGGGCAACUGGAAUUCUCGGUGUAGCGGUGAAAUGCGUAGAUAUCGAGAGGAACACCUGCGGCGAAGGCGGGUUGCUGGGCUGACACUGACGCUGAGGCGCGAAAGCUAGGGGAGCGAACGGGAUUAGAUACCACGGUAGUCCUAGCCUUAAACGAUGGAUGCUUGGUGUCUGGGGUUUUAUAGUCCCCGGGUGCCGUCGCUAACGCUUUAAGCAUCCCGCCUGGGGAGUACGGUCGCAAGACUGAAACUCAAAGGAAUUGACGGGGACCCGCACAAGCGGUGGAGCAUGUGGUUUAAUUCGACGCAACGCGAAGAA